rnacentral:ncRNA from 1 species
UCUCACGGGGUGCUUCUCAAAUUAUGGAGAGGCUGAGAUUAUACCCAGGGUGGUUCUGCCAUCCAUACCUGAUCCGGGUAAUGCCGGCGUAGGGAAAAGAAGC